GAGAUGAAAGACCAAACUCAUCACAGGAGAGUGAACGAGUAAAUCUGUCUGUUAAUGCAGCUUCAUCUUCUCUUCUGGUCACUGGUGUGGUUGUGGGAUUGAGUGUUUGUCUGUUGUUCUUCCUCUCACUGCUGCUGAUGUGGAGAUACAAGAAGAACAAAGAUCAGCAGCGUAACAUUAACCAGACAUCAGUCCCAAAUCAAUCUGCACAAUCUCAACUGGAAAACUCUCC